UCGUAACAAGGUUUCUGUAGGUGAACCUGCAGAAGGAUCAUUAGUGAAAGUUUCGGGCCUGCCAUACGGACGCAAACACGUCUCUGGCGCCCAUCACUAUAUCCAUACCAACCCCUGUGCACUGUGAUGACGAAUGUCAUCGAACAAAAAAAACUCGUAUGGUUGAAUGUACGUGAAAUUGUAGGUAUAGCCUACGAACUAUACACAACUUUCGACAACGGAUCUCUUGGUUCUCCCAUCGAUGAAGAACGCAGCGAAACGCGAUAGGUAAUGUGAAUUGCAGAAUUCCGUGAAUCAUCGAAUCUUUGAACGCACCUUGCGCUCCAUGGUAUUCCGUGGAGCAUGCCUGUUUGAGUGCCGCGAAUUCUCCCUCCCCUUACGGUGGCCGAAAGGCCGAAGUAGGGCGGACGGGGUAGGAUGGGUGUUGCUGCCUGGGGAUUGUACCAGGCUCGCCCGAAAUGCAUAAGCGCCAGGACCCUCGCUACCGCUCUCUAGGGAAGAGUGGCUAAGCGACCGCUGAGCAUGGCAUGAUACGUCAUUUGCUGUGUGUGGGCGGCCGGUUGGAGAGGUGUCUGCUUUACCAGCCCUUUUUUAAUUCUGGUCUCAAAUCAGGUAGGAUCACCCGCUGAACCUAAGCAUAUCA
rnacentral:misc_RNA from 1 species